AGUGAACGCUGGCGGUAGGCCUAACACAUGCAAGUCGAACGGCAGCACAGUAAGAGCUUGCUCUUACGGGUGGCGAGUGGCGGACGGGUGAGGAAUACAUCGGAAUCUACUUUUUCGUGGGGGAUAACGUAGGGAAACUUACGCUAAUACCGCAUACGACCUACGGGUGAAAGCCGGCGAUCUUCGGACCUUGCGCGAUUGAAUGAGCCGAUGUCGGAUUAGCUAGUUGGCGGGGGAAAGGCCCACCAAGGCGACGAUCCGUAGCUGGUAUGAGAGGAUGGACAGAUAGACGGGAACAGAGAAAGGGUACAGACUCUGAAGGGAGGAAGCAGUGGGGAAUAUUGGGCGAGGGAGGCGAGCCGGAUCCAGGAAAACGGCGUGAAGGAAGAAGGAGUUAGGGUUGGAAAGCGAUGUUGGUGGGAGAGAAAAACAGCAGGUUAAUACGGGGCGGUAAUGACGGUACCGAAAGAAUAAGCACCGGCUAACUCCGUG
rnacentral:rRNA from 1 species